rnacentral:rRNA from 1 species
AUUGAACGCUGGCGGCAGGCUUAACACAUGCAAGUCGAACGAGCGGCGGACGGGUGAGUAAUGUCUGGGAAACUGCCCGAUGGAGGGGGAUAACUACUGGAAACGGUAGCUAAUACCGCAUACCAUCAGAUGUGCCCAGAUGGGAUUAGCUAGUAGGUGGGGUAAGGGCUCAACUAGGCGACGAUCCCUAGCUGGUCUGAGAGGAGGACCAGCCACACUGGGACUGAGACACGGCCCAGACUCCUACGGGAGGCAGCAGUGGGGAAUAUUGGACAAUGGGGGAAAGCCUGAUGCAGCCAUGCCGCGUGUGUGAAGAAGGCCUUCGGGUUGUAAAGCACUUUCAGCGGGGAGGCGGUACUCGCAGAAGAAGCACCGGCUAACUCCGUGCCAGCCGCCGCGGUAAUAC